rnacentral:rRNA from 1 species
GACGAACGCUGGCGGCGCGCUUAACACAUGCAAGUCGAACGGAAAGGCCUGCUUUCCCUUGUGGAUUGCGGGUACUCGAGUGGCGAACGGGUGAGUAACACGUGAGUGAUCUGCCCCCAACUUGGGUAUAAGCCUGGGAAACUGGGUCUAAUUCCCGAUAGGACUGCAGGGUGGUGCCUGUGGUGGAAGACGAUUUUCUAGUGGUUGGGGAUGAGCUCGCGGCCUAUCAGCUUGUUGGUGGGGUAAUGGCCUACCAAGGCGGCGACGGGUAGCCGGCCUGGGAGGGUGGACGGCAACAUUGGGACUGAGAUACGGCCCAGACUCCUACGGGAGGCAGCAGUGGGGAAUAUUGACAAAGGGGCGGAAGCCUGAUGCAGCGACGCCGCGUGGGGGAUGACGGCCUUCGGGUUGUAAACUCCUUUCGACAGCGAGGAAGCCACCUGGUUGGAAGGGUGGUGACGGUAGUGGUAGAAGAAGCACCGGCUAACUACGUG